rnacentral:rRNA from 1 species
AAUCAACGCUGGCGGCGUGCCUAACACAUGCAAGUCGAACGCGAAAGGGACUUCGGUCCUGAGUAGAGUGGCGAACGGGUGAGUAACGCGUGGGUGACCUACCCUCGAGUGGGGGAUAACGUUCCGAAAGGGACGCUAAUACCGCAUGACAUUCCGGGUUUGAAGACCUGGAAAUCAAAGCCGGGGACCGCAAGGCCUGGCGCUAGAGGAGGGGCCCGCGUCUGAUUAGCUAGUUGGCGGGGUAAUGGCCCACCAAGGCGACGAUCAGUAGCCGGCCUGAGAGGGCGGACGGCCACACUGGGACUGAGACACGGCCCAGACUCCUACGGGAGGCAGCAGGGGGGAAUUGUUCGCAAUGGGCGAAAGCCUGACGACGCAACGCCGCGUGGAGGAUGAAGGUCUUCGGAUUGUAAACUCCUGUUGAUCGGGACGAAAAGCUUCAACCCAAUACGUUGAAGACUGACGGUACCGGUUGAGGAAGCCACGGCUAACUCUGUGCCAGCCGCCGCCGUAAU